GUCUAUGGCUAUACCACCCUGAUAUGCCCGAUCUCAUCUGAUCUCCGAAGCUAAGCAGGGUUGGGCCUAGUUAGUACUUGGAUGGGAGACUUUGGAUCCAUAUUCC
rnacentral:rRNA from 1 species